ACAUUCCCAUCAUCUAUUCUGCCUUUCAGUGACCAGUGAUGCUGUCUUGGAGCACACGUCAACACACUUAUCUUCAGGUAAGUGGAAAGAUUAGCCCAUAGGCUUUGAUCCCUCCAGGUCCUGUUCCUUCACCUGUUCAUAUGUCUGGAACUCUAAGAGAAGAUACUCAAGUUAGAAGCCCAGGAUCCAGUAGUUUUGGCCUUGAUUCCUAGAAUGUGAAAACCCUUAGGCCUCGGUGUCCAGAAUGGCAUUCCAAAUGGACAACCUUGGAAUAUUCCAAAAGACAUGGACAUGAGCCACAAAUCUGGGGCCUCAGAAUAGGUCACAAGGAGGAGUCAUAAUGGUGGGUCCUUCUAUGGUUCCCAUGACACCUAGAGAAGAACUGUAAAUUUAAUUCCGUGACUCUUGUUUUCAUGAUGGCUGAUCUUAGUCAGGAGCAGAGCAGGCCUGUUUUUCGUCCCUCCCGGCUCCCGCCUGCCUAGCUUUACACACGAAAUAACUACACACAAAUUGUCUUCAUUUAAACACUGCUUGUCCCAUUAGAUCUAGCCUCUUACCAGCUAAAUCUCACAUCUUGAUUAACCCAUUUCUAUUAAUGUGUGUAGCAACACGAGGUGGUGGCUUACCGGGAAGAUUCUAACCUAAGUCCAUCUUGGACCAGAGCUUCAUCGGGUCUGCCUCACUUCCCUCCUUCCUAGCAUUCUGUUCUGCCUACUCCGCUCACCUGAUUUUCUGUCCUAUCAAAAGGCCAAGAAACUUUCUUUAUUAAAUAACCAAUGAAAGUGACACAUAGACAGAUGACCCUCCUACAUCAGUGAUGAUCCUGAUUGGGACUGCCCGAGAAAGAAGUUCUAGUCAGCUUUGGCAGUGGCUUUCGAAACUAAUAACUUGCUGUAAUGGACUUUCGGAAUGAAUGGCCUUUUGGCAUGUCCGGGACACAUUUGGGGGUCCAGAGUUCUUUCCCUGCACUAAUUCCACACAGGGAAAACUAGUUUAUCAAAUCGCACCUAGGCACCCUCAACCUUACCUCUUCUACCUGUGAUUUACUGAACUUUACCUACCUUUCCAGCAAGGCAAAACGGGAGACUAUUCUGGAUGCUCUAUUAAGAUAGAUGGUCUCUUCAUGGCGCUUGAGCCACGAAGGCAGCCUGAUUUUGAGAAGUUUGUAGCACAUGUCAGAGGCUCUGCCUAUCAUGCAUAGCCCCAGGCAUAGCCAUCUUCCCUGGAAGACAUUGCCUUCAACAUUCUGCCUAGGACUAGGAAUAUCCCCAGAGACACAGAGCAGGCCAGACCUAACUCUGCCUCUGGAUGGUCAUUAACAACUCUCAGGUAUGUCCUUUUUUUCAACAGCUGGUAUUUGUUGUUUAGACAGCUGGGAUAAAGUAACAAAUGGAUUAAGGGAUAUUUAGAAAUGAUAGUACAUACAGUCUGAAAAGUUGUGUUGAGGGGUUUAGGGAAUGAUUUUUCUAUCGUUCUAUUGAUGUAAUGGGGAUGUAUGUGGGCAUUGAAUCCUUUUAACAGAGAUAGAUAUGUAAGUCUGCAUGGAGCCUACCUCUUGUGUGACUUACUACUGUUGCACAAGUCUCCAAUGGCCUAACAACAUUGAUCAGUUCCUGUCUUCUCUUUUUUCUUUCGGAGAUCUGAGCUUCCUCUUGGACCCCACCACAUAAUACCUUUCAGAGAUCUAAGACUGGAAAAUUCAUUUCAGAAAAUACAGACAAUCGGAAAUCAGUUCUCCUCAUGGCACCACUGGAAGGUGAUGGAAGUUCAACUGCCACAACCCUGGGAAGGCCUGCUUAUUGUGUGACUAAAGAACACAAGGCACAGUAGCCAUCCUUUCUGCAACACUGAUGCAACACUGAUCGAGUGCCUUGGAAAAUAGCUGAUUAAACAAGAUGAUGGCAACACAAGGGGAGACUUUGGAUUGUCUAUUUAAAAUCUAGGAAGGCUCUGAAACUUGACUUAAACCAGUCAUCUAAGAAGGCAUCGUUGCGGGUUAUGGAGAAAGCAGAUAAAUCGCGGAGUCUCAAUGGAGAAACAAACUACUCUUAUGGGUAGACCCCAUUUCUAUCAGUAGAUGGCCAAUACAAAACUAAGUCAAUGGAUCUACAGAGGUUCUUCCUCUCACAACGAGUCUCUCUUUGGCCUACAAGACGGAAGAUCAGCACAGGCUGUACUGUCAGGAAGCCCCAGGCAUCUGCCAGUACCUGACUAUCUACCAUCAAGAUUGCAAGGCCUUUGUUAACAAAGUUUUGAGGAUUAAUCUCAGGUCUACUUUUCAAAAUGACAGGAUCACAACCAAGUGUGAUCAACGAGAACUAUUCUUAUGAAAAAAGCACAAGAUUUAAAACACAACAGUGGUACAUGGCAAGAAAGACAAGAGCAAACAAUAAAGCUGACUCAUCAGUUCAUCGGGAUCUUUGUAGAUACUGCUUGCCGUAAACCUCCUUUCUGUUACUAAACUGACGUAACUUGCAAUCAGUAAUGCUGAUGGGGAUCCUCAAUUAAGGUUCCUAUUCUGUGACUGAGGAAAAGCAAACUCUGAAGUUAAAGCUUCUGAUGAGGCUACUACUACUGCAAUCUGUUACCAUGACUCAGGUCCUCACAGCCCUAACAAAGCAAUUGGAAAUUAUUAGAGGCAAUUAAAAAUAAACAGUGGGUAAAAGCUAAGAAAGUAAAGGCCAUAAGCACCAAAACUUACAUACAUUUUCUCCCAGGCAUGAAACUAGGGUCAUAAACUUCCUAGCUUCCCUCACCUUUAUAGUAAAUGUCACUCUCAUCAAAGGCUAUACCCUUUCGAAGCAACAAAGCAAAAGAUAUUUUAUCUUACUGACAAAAGAUGAAUGACAUUUUAUAUGGUAAAAUUUUAGAAAUCAAAUAGCAAAUAAUAAUACUGAAACCAAACAUAACCUCUUUGUUGAAGAGUACUAUACUAUAAUCAUUAGAUCAAUUAUGUAAGGAAUGAUAAUUUUACAGUUAUGUUGACAAUCUAUCCCUAUUUUCACUAUGCCAAGUAUUUCCUUACCUAUACUUAGCAAGUAAAAAUCCUUUUAUAAAAAAUAAUUUAUUUUACAUCCUGGCUGGUUGCCCCUCCCCCUCUUCUCCCAGUCCCUUCCCCCUCAUCCCCUUCUGCUCUGACCCCUGAAUCCACUCCUCAUUUUCUGUUUAGGAAAGGACAGGUCUCCCACAACAAAACAGAAACAGCUGUAGUUGUAUUAACAAGACAAUAGUAUGUAAAAAUCUUUACUAUAAUCACUACAUAUUCUUCAAGGUACUUACUCAACAGUAAGAAACAAUAUAAAAUUCAAGUCAUCAUUGAUGGAACGGCUUCCAGAAGAUGAACUAUGAAGCACUUAACUUUAUAUACUACAAACCUGAUCUGUGGCCUGCUCCAAGAGUUAUCAACACUUGUUUGCUUAAUGAUCUUGAAUUCUUUCCUUAAAAAAAAUAAUUUGUCCUUAUAUGUAUUUAUGAGAAGUAAGGGGUUGGCAGACAUGUGGUGCUGAGAGGGUAACCUGAAGGAGUUGGUUUACUCCUUCCACAGUGUGGUCCCAGACACGAGGCCUGGCGGUAGGUUCCAUGUACCUGGAUGAGCCAGUAUGCCAAUCCAAGCACUAAUUCUUCAGUUUAUUAAGAAUAAGUAAGUAUGAAAGCACUAACAUGGAGCUUAUUUCUCAUUAAUCCAAUGAAAAUAUUAUGGUAUCUUCUUUGACCACUCAAGUAUAUUUAAUUUCUCUAAAGUGUUAGCAAAAACAUAGAAAACAUGUAUGAUGAAUGAACAGUGUGUUAGGAGAUAACAUGUUUGACGUACAGUGUUCUGUUUGAAAUGUUUAAUUGACAACUCUCUUCUCCCUCCCCUACCUCCGUGUGUGUGUGUGUGUGUGUGUGUGUGUGUGUGUGUGCGC